AUGAAUUGUUACAUAUGUACAUAUAAUAUCAAUUACUUUGGGGGGCAAAUUUAAAAGUUCAAUAGGGCAAAUCUAAAACUUUAAUAAGACAAAACACUAUUAAAGAUAAAUAUCUAAGAUUGCUUGUGGGGGCAAAAUUAUUUUGAGGGAAAUUUAAAAAUUCAGUGGGGUAAACCUAGAAUUUUAGUGGGGGCAAAACACAAUCAAAAUUAAAUAUCUAAAGAAAUAAGUAAUGUUAGUAGGGGAAGUUGCUCCACUGUGGAUUUGCCUUGCAAAUAAGGAUGUAAGUCAUACUAUUACUCCUAGGGUUGUGCUAUCAAUAUCGAUACCAAACCAAACCGCAACAACUGAAGAAUUGAAAUGCUUAUAAAUGAAAACCAAACCAAACUUAUGUAUAGAACCCAUGG
rnacentral:misc_RNA from 1 species